UGGUCUUUCAGGAUAGUCAGUGCUGGAGA
rnacentral:piRNA from 1 species